GACGGAAGGUGCAAGCGUUGCUCGGAAUCACUGGGCGUAAAGGGUGCGUAGGCGGCCGUGCAAGUCUGGCGUGAAAGCCCCGGGCUCAGCCCGGGAAGUGCGCUCGAAACUGCGCGGCUCGAGUGCCGGAGGGGAGAGUGGAAUUCCUGGUGUAGCGGUGAAAUGCGCAGAUAUCAGGAGGAACACCAAUGGCGAAGGCAGCUCGCUGGGACGGUACUGACGCUGAGACGCGAAAGCGUGGGGAGCAAACAGG
rnacentral:rRNA from 1 species